UACCAGCACCCCGAGUGGUCGGGACGUUUAUUGGGCCUAAAGCAUCCGUAGCCGGUUCUACAAGUCUUCCGUUAAAUCCAACUGCUUAACAGGUGGGCUGCGGAAGAUACUAUAGAGCUAGGAGGCGGGAGAGGCAAGCGGUACUCGAUGGGUAGGGGUAAAAUCCGUUGAUCCAUUGAAGACCACCAGUGGCGAAGGCGGCUUGCCAGAACGCGCUCGACGGUGAGGGAUGAAAGCUGGG
rnacentral:rRNA from 1 species